GCCUCGUUUAUUUGGGUAAUUUCUAAGAAAGAUCAGAUAUUCAAGCGUCAAGCGGGAUAUGUUAAAAGUGAAGAAGUAUCUACAAUGAGAAGCUAUUUAAUUGGUUUUUUUUGUAGUAUCUUUUAAAAUUUGGUAAGAUUAAUAUGGUACAACCAACUAACAAAGAUGGGGUUAUCAACUUACAUUUUUAAUUUUCAUAUGCUUUUAC
rnacentral:lncRNA from 1 species